rnacentral:rRNA from 1 species
UACGUAGGGCGCAAGCGUUAUCCGGAAUUAUUGGGCGUAAAGAGCUCGUAGGCGGUUUGUCGCGUCUGCCGUGAAAGUCCGGGCUCAACUCCGGAUCUGCGGUGGGUACGGGCAGACUAGAGUGAUGUAGGGGAGACUGGAAUUCCUGGUGUAGCGGUGAAAUGCGCAGAUAUCAGGAGGAACACCGAUGGCGAAGGCAGGUCUCUGGGCCGAUACUGACGUGAGGAGCGAAAGCGUGGGGAGCGAACAGG